GAGUCUAUGAGGAUAUCAGUUAAAAAUAACACCAUCUUUCGGGACUGAUUGGCCUUCUGGCCUUGAUGUUAUAAAUUCUGCAAUUCUGAGACUA